UACAGAGGUCCCAAGCGUUGUUCGGAUUUACUGGGUUUAAAGGGUGCGUAGGCGGCCUAUUAAGUCAGGGGUGAAAGACGGUAGCUUAACUAUCGCAGUGCCUUUGAUACUGAUGGGCUUGAAUACACUAGAGGUAGGCGGAAUGUGACAAGUAGCGGUGAAAUGCAUAGAUAUGUCACAGAACACCAAUUGCGAAGGCAGCUUACUAUGGUGCAAUUGACGCUGAGGCACGAAAGCGUGGGGAUCAAACAGG
rnacentral:rRNA from 1 species